GUAGGUUACUGAUAGGUAAUUCUGACUUUUAAUCAGUAGGUCCAGGGUUCGAAUCCCUGCGCUCUCACCA
rnacentral:tRNA from 1 species